AGCACUGCCUCAUCAGUUCGUACAGCUCCGGCGGGCAGUUGUCGGGCUGCGGCAUGCGGUACCCGCGCUCCAGGUUCUGAAUCACCUCGGGGUUGGUCAUCCCUGCGAGGACAACGCGAGCGGCAAUGGCCCUUCUGCCGCGCAGCUGCUGGGAAAUCCUGACCUGGAUACGGGAUCCGGCCGUAGGUGACGAUCUCGGUCAGCAGGAUGCCGAACGACCAGACGUCGGACUUGAUGGUGAAUGUCCCGUAAUUAAUUGCUUCCGGCGCUGUCCACUUGAUGGGGAAUUUAGCCCCUGGGAAGCAGCAGGAGGGGAGAAAAUAAAAUGAGAAAAUAAAACGUUACUGCUGAGCUGGAAA